rnacentral:rRNA from 1 species
AGUUAGUGGCGGACGGGUGAGUAACGCGUGGAUAACCUGCCGUAUACCGGGGGAUAACACUUAGAAAUAGGUGCUAAUACCGCAUAAGCGCACGGCUCCGCAUGGGGCAGUGUGAAAAACUCCGGUGGUGUAAGAUGGACCCGCGUCUGAUUAGCUUGUUGGCGGGGUAACGGCCCACCAAGGCGACGAUCAGUAGCCGGCCUGAGAGGGCGGACGGCCACAUUGGGACUGAGACACGGCCCAGACUCCUACGGAAGGCAGCAG